rnacentral:sRNA from 1 species
UCUACAAAAUUCGGAAAAAUUGGAA